rnacentral:tRNA from 1 species
GUUUUUAUAGUUUAAAUUUAAAACAUUGGUCUUGUAAAUCAAAAAUAAAAUAUUUUUAAAAACU